rnacentral:rRNA from 1 species
UACGUAGGGGGCAAGCGUUGUCCGGAAUCAUUGGGCGUAAAGCGCGCGCAGGCGGUCCUUUAAGUCUGAUGUGAAAGCCCACGGCUCAACCGUGGAGGGUCAUUGGAAACUGGGGGACUUGAGUGCAGGAGAGAAGAGUGGAAUUCCACGUGUAGCGGUGAAAUGCGUAGAGAUGUGGAGGAACACCAGUGGCGAAGGCGGUGGUCUGGGCCGGCACUGACGCUGAGGAGCGAAAGCGUGGGUAGCAAACAGG